GGGGCUGUAGCUCAGUUGGGAGAGCGCGGGCUUUGCAAGCCUGAGGUCGUCGGUUCGAAUCCGAUCAGCUCCACCA
rnacentral:tRNA from 1 species